GUGUAUUUCUGCACAUUUAUGUGUGUGUGUGUGUGUGUGUGUGUGUGUGUGUGUGUGUGUGUGUGUGUGUGUGUGUGUGUGUGUGUGUGUGUGAGUGUCCAAACCUCACAGACUCUGUGAAAUCCCAGUACUGUGCCCUCUGAGUGAGUGCUGUUCUCUUGUUGUUGUUGCAAGUAGGGUGUGUGUGUGUGUGUGUGUGUGUGUUCGCUUGUUGUUGUUGCAGUAGGGGCACAAAAGCAGGUAGCUGGAGCAGUGUGUGUGUGUGUGUGUGUGUGUGUGUGUGUGUGUGUGUGACUACAGACUAAUAUUGGCACAGACAACAGCUGUUGGACAGACUGCUACAAUUAUAGCAUCAGAUCGGAGAGAGAGAGAGAGAGAGAGGGAGAGGGAGAGGAAUGAGAGAGAGAGAGAGAGAGAGAGAGAGAGGGGGAGAGGGAUAGAGAGAGAGAGAGCGGAAUGAUAGAAGAAGAAAUGUGGUAGGAAGAGGGAGAGCGGGUAAAGGAGAGAGAGGAGAGAGACAGGGAGAAAGAGAGAGGGAGGGUGGGAGGAGUGAGAGAAGGAAAGAGUUGGUAGGGAGAGAUAGGGAGAGGAGAGAGAGCAAAGGAGAGAGGGGAGGAGAGAGUUGGUAGUGAGAGAGAGAGAGAGAGAGAGAGAGAGAGAGAGAGAGAGAGAGAGGAGAGGCAGAAGAGCGUGAGUGUCAGUAGAAUGUGGAGAGCUGGUCGCCGUGGCAGCAUGUUCCCGUCGUCGCUCGCGCUGUUCCUGCCCCUGCUGCUCAGCCAUGUGUGUGUGCUGGCUCAGUCCGUGCUCAACGUCUACCCCUUCCGUCCAGGACUCAGAUGGCGAGGGGAUCACUGAGCCAUCAUUGGCCCCCUGCCCACCCAGUACCCCAGGAACCAGCGGGCCCCCGGGCCCCACAGGACCAACCGGACCCGAUGGACCUCAGGUGGGCAGGAUCUCACCCACACUCGCAACACACACACACACUCGCAACACACACACACACUCGCAACACACACAUCUUCUCUACUCAUCUCCCUACUGCUCUCCUCUCUCAACACACGCACACAAACACACACACACACACAUCUCCUCUCCUGUGUGAUAGUCUGUAGUGAGUGUUUCCCCG
rnacentral:lncRNA from 1 species